rnacentral:rRNA from 1 species
GAUGAACGCUGGCGGCGUGCUUAACACAUGCAAGUCGAACGGAAAGGCUCCUGCUUGCUGGGGCACUCGAGUGGCGAACGGGUGAGUAACACGUGGGUGAUCUGCCCUGCACUUCGGGAUAAGCCUUGGAAACUGGGUCUAAUACCGGAUAGGACCAUCGUUUAGUGUAGGUGGUGGAAAGAUUUUUCGGUGUGGGAUGAGCUCGCGGCCAAUCAGCUUGUUGGUGGGGUAAUGGCGUACCAAGGCGUCGAGGGGUGGCCGGCCUGGGAGGGUGUACGGCCACAUUGGGACUGGGAUGCGGGCAGGACUCCAACGGGGGGCAGCGGUGGGGGAUUUUGCGCAAUGGGCGGAAGCCGGAUGCAGCGACGCCGGGUGGGGGAUGACGGCCUUCGGGUUGUAAACACCUUGCGCCAGGGACGAAGCGAAAGUGACGGUACCUGGAUAAGAAGCACCGGCUAACUACGUG